rfam:Faecalibacterium prausnitzii A2-165 genomic scaffold Scfld4, whole genome shotgun sequence.
GCCUCUUUAGCUCAGUCGGUUAGAGCACCUGACUGUUAAUCAGGGUGUCGCCUGUUCGAGUCAGGCAAGAGGCG